rnacentral:rRNA from 1 species
AAAAAAAACUCCUCCUCUCUCUCUCUCUCCUCUCUGAGGUUAGGUGGGUGGGGAGGGGAAAAGGAGAGUGCCCGUCUCAAAGCCCCGACGAGUAGGAGGGUCACAGCGGUGAGCGUUGAAGGGACUCCGGCGUGGGCCGGCCUGGAGCCACCGCUGGUGCAGAUCUUGGUGGUAGUAGCAAAUACUCGAGAGAGACCCUAGAGGGCUGAUGUGGAGAAGGGUUCCAUGUGAACAUCAGUUGGACAUGGGUCAGUCGGUCCUAAGUCCAUGGCGAAGGCCAGUUCCUACCGUGAAGGCAAGUGUCAACCCGUGGUGUUGUUCAGAGAGAAACCCACGCCAGUUAGAUACGUCCUAGGAAUACCCUCUGGACGAAAGGGAUUCCGGUAAAUAUUCCGGAACUUGGCUUCGGAGAUGCAUGCAGCGCCCUCGGCCUGUCAUGGGCCUUGGGGUCUGGCUGGUGUUUAAACCCCAGUAAUGGGAUCAUAGCCCGCAUCCGUCGGCGGUGGCCCAGGGAAGAGUUUUCUUUUCUGUUUAAGACAUCUGUAUGGCCCUGGAAGCAACUCGCCAGGCGAGAGGGCUGUGGUACAUGGUAUCGCUGAUGUUCUAAGAGCGCUGCGGUUCUUGCAGCGUCCUGCGUGCCACCGUCGGCUCUUAAAGAUGUUGGGGAGGGUGUGAGUCUCUCGCACCCGCAAUUUUCGAGCCAAGCCGUACCCA